GGGAUAACACUUGGAAACAGGUGCUAAUACCGUAUAACACUAUUUUCCGCAUGGAAGAAAGUUGAAAGGCGCUUUUGCGUCACUGAUGGAUGGACCCGCGGUGCAUUAGCUAGUUGGUGAGGUAACGGCUCACCAAGGCCACGAUGCAUAGCCGACCUGAGAGGGUGAUCGGCCACACUGGGACUGAGACACGGCCCAGACUCCUACGGGAGGCAGCAGUAGGGAAUCUUCGGCAAUGGACGAAAGUCUGACCGAGCAACGCCGCGUGAGUGAAGAAGGUUUUCGGAUCGUAAAACUCUGUUGUUAGAGAAGAACAAGGAUGAGAGUAAAAUGUUCAUCCCUUGACGGUAUCUAACCAGAAAGCCACGGCUAACUACGUGCCAGCAGCCGCGGUAAUACGUAGGUGGCAAGCGUUGUCCGGAUUUAUUGGGCGUAAAGCGAGCGCAGGCGGUUUCUUAAGUCUGAUGUGAAAGCCCCCGGCUCGACCGGGGAGGGUCAUUGGAAACUGGGAGACUUAAGUGCAGAAGAGGAGAGUGGAAUUCCAUGUGUAGCGGUGAAAUGCGUAGAUAUAUGGAGGAACACCAGUGGCGAAGGCGGCUCUCUGGUCUGUAACUGACGCUGAGGCUCGAAAGCGUGGGGAGCGAACAGGAUUAGAUACCCUGGUAGUCCACGCCGUAAACGAUGAGUGAUAGGUGUUGGAGGGUUUCCGCCCUUCAGUGCUGCAGCA
rnacentral:rRNA from 1 species